rnacentral:rRNA from 1 species
GACGAACGCUGGCGGCGUGCUUAACACAUGCAAAUCGAACGGAAAGGCCCGCUUGCGGGUACUCGAGUGGCGAACGGGUGAGUAACACGUGGGCAACCUGCCCUCAGCUUCGGGAUAACACUUGGAAACAGGUGCUAAUACCGGAUAAUAACCUUUCAUCGCAUGGUGGUUGGUUCAAAGUUUUUCGGCUGAGGAUGGGCCCGCGGCCUAUCAGCUUGUUGGUGGGGUAAUGGCCUACCAAGGCGACGACGGGUAGCCGGCCUGAGAGGGCGACCGGCCACACUGGGACUGAGACACGGCCCAGACUCCUACGGGAGGCAGCAGUGGGGAAUAUUGCGCAAUGGGCGGAAGCCUGACGCAGCGACGCCGCGUGAGGGAUGACGGCCUUCGGGUUGUAAACCUCUUUCAGCUCCGACGAAGCGCAAGUGACGGUAGGAGCAGAAGAAGCACCGGCCAACUACGUGCCAGCAGCCGCCGCGG